CAGCCAGUGCUGCAGGUCAGGGGCCGCCAUCCCCCAGAGCUGCUGUGAGACAUCGACCAGCACAUCAGUGGGCUGCUUUCUGCUGGUUUUAUUUGCAUGUAUUUUGGUCUGUUUCCCUACCUAGAAAAUAAACUCCCUGUGGCAGAAGUUUUAUCUCUCUGCUCCCUUCUUGGUUCCCAGCUCUUGGAACAGAACCAGACUUCUGGCCGGGGCUCAGUCAGUGCUUGCAAGAUGUUUGUUGGCACCAGGCUGUGCCAGGAGAGCAUCAUUAUAAACUGCUGAUCUACUGUUUCUUUGUCAAACGGGAGGAGAUAACAUAAAGGUCAUAAGAAAUGUUUGCAGACGGAGUGAAUGCCUUGAAAGUGCUGCGACCAGGUGCUGACACCCGGAGGUCUGGCUGCUCGAAGUGUUAGCUGACACGGAAGACACACGGACUUUCCCUCCAUUCCCCAAAACUCCCCCUCCCUGACUCGUCAGCUGCAUAAAAACCCUCUCCUUAUCUCUUUGUCAAGGGGAUUUGAGAAAUCUUGCUGUCUUGUCUUCUUGCUUUGGCCAAAUGGAAUAAACCUUUGUCUCCAGA
rnacentral:lncRNA from 1 species